AGAGUAUGCAUGCAUAAAAGAGGGUACUCACUGCAGCGAGCAGACAGAAGUUCCAUGAUUUGGAGGAGAAGCUAUAAGAAAGGAAGGAUCCACAAUACCCCCAGAGCACUCUGACCUAAGCCCAAAGAAUGCUCCAGAGUGGUGAGGAAACUGAGGGCUGUAAGCCUAAAAAGGAAACACUUAGAUCAAAGUAUUUAAGGACAGAAGACUUAUUUUACUACUGCCGGACUGAUCAGAGGCAUGACCUGGAAGUUAUGAGGAAAUUAGAGGAACUGCACCUUUAGUCUGCGUUCGUUGGCAGUGUGGAUAUCCUCAUCGCUUUUGUUCACCACAAAGGCUCCCCUGGACCAUUCUUCAGAAAUCUACAUCAGCAAAAGACACCAGGCAGUGGUUAAUGACCCUUCUUUAUUGCACAAGGGUGUUGGAGGCUUGAUUUCAAUCAGGAACAGAGACACUAAAAUGGGAGAGCUCCACCAGGCAACUGUUUGGAGUCAUGGAGCAGCCUAAGCACAACGUGGGUUAGAGUGCGUACAACUGAAUGGAAAGCAGAGAUAAGCCAAGGGUCAGGACAGAUGCUGGACCCCCAACUUCAUAAUCAAAGACACCAUCCCUAUUCAGGGAAGCACAUAAUGUACCUACUUUUAAAUAAUGGGACUUAAACAUGGGCUUAAAUGUUUUCUUGAAUCAGGACUAAGGAAGAUUACAAUGCAGACUACCUGAAAAGAGGAAGAUCAACAGCCAAGUAGCAGUGCUUAAAGCUUCAAGUCAGGCUGGUACCUGUGGCAAUGACUGACAGCCUUUUACCACAUUCUGUGCUCAAGCAAAUGCAUACCUUUUCUAAUCCACGCAGAAUCUUCUCCAAAUCACCCUUGGUUAGAAUCCCAGACUUCUCCAGAGCCUUGGCAUAAGCCAUGCUUCCUCGGAUGUCAACUUCCGACAACCGCUGGUCAGAAGCCAUGGAAGAGUUGAGAGUCUCCAUGAUGGGAUCAGUGCCUCCUAUGAAUCUUCCUCCCCAAAGUUUAUCCCCCUGUGGAAAAGGAAGUUUAAAAAAGAUGGAGCUUAAAAGGACAUACUGGUAAAUCUGAAAGAACCUUCAAACACACACUCUUUGGGAUGAGUAUUAAUUCUGUGGGACAGCACCCCAGAAUCUACCAGAAUAGAAGGAACAAAUUGAGACCUGGUGCAGACCAUGAAUCACAGCCACCUUCUCUGGCAGAGGACUGGAUAGGUUAAUCAGUGCCACUAUUUCAUCAGCUAGCGGGGUCAUUGUUAAGUAAGUCUUUCCCCAAGGACUGUUUCCACAUAUCUACCAACCCCUGAUGAACACAGAUUGUUCAUGGGGCCUAUCUUACAGUCCCUAUAGGGACAAUAUACUUAGUGAAAUCCUGAGGCGUUUUGCUCCCAGGACUGUAGAAUUAGGGCCUAUAGUUGGAGAUUUAAAAAAAAUUAUUUUCAUGGCAGCUUUGUCGAUACAGCCAUUUUUAAUUCUAAAUUUUGUCAGUCUAAUUCUGCACGGCCUCAGCUUCACUACACCUACAUGUUGCCAUCAUAUUGAUUUCCUCUACUGUUUCAAGUGAAUGACAUUUUGCCUGUCAAACCAAUAAAAUUACCCAGCCUGACCUCUGCAAAGCUUUAGGUGUGAUUUUUUUCCUCAUCAAUUCUGUACUAAGGACAAGUGAUGGGGGCUGAAAUUUGGAGAGUGACACCAGAACAUAGCAGCAUUUGGACUGGGGAAUGGGCAAAGACAUAUCUAUGUGAUUCAUUUCAGGUUCUCCCUCUAUUAAUUCAGGCAUAAGCAGACAAUUGAGGUAACUAAACCUUUAGUGCAAGUGAUUUAAAAAAAAAAUUGAGCUGUGAACAUGCAAACAGUUUCUCAUCUUUUAGAGGUCACAGAAUUUCAUAAUAUAUUUUGUACAGGAUUCUCCCCAGUCCCAAUUGGCUACCUUUGGCCCAACAAUGGAAAUAGCCAGGCUAGCAAAUUUUGACAGGUGCAGGCCGCUUAUUAGAAUAUCGAUAGCACCUGUGUGCAAUAGCAGGUAAGGCCAAGACGACGGCGAGAGCAAUUUCUGAAACUGGAAAGCAGGAGCUGCUAUGGGAGCGGGUCCGAUUUUGCUAACGGGGGCAACUGCCGCCACGCAGCAUUUGUCUAGAGAAGCGGCUCGGGCCAGCAACUCUACAAGUGGGCGUCCAAAGACUGACAUCCACCUGCAAAAGUUGC